GACGAACGCUGGCGGCGUGCCUAAUACAUGCAAGUAGAACGCACAGUUUAUACCGUAGCUUGCUACACCAUAAACUGUGAGUUGCGAACGGGUGAGUAACGCGUAGGUAACCUGCCUGGUAGCGGGGGAUAACUAUUGGAAACGAUAGCUAAUACCGCAUAAUAUUAAUUAUUGCAUGAUAAUUGAUUGAAAGAUGCAAUUGCAUCACUACCAGAUGGACCUGCGUUGUAUUAGCUAGUAGGUGAGGUAACGGCUCACCUGGGCGACGAUACAUAGCCGACCUGAGAGGGUGAUCGGCCACACUGGGACUGAGACACGGCCCAGACUCCUACGGGAGGCAGCAGUAGGGAAUCUUCGGCAAUGGACGAAAGUCUGACCGAGCAACGCCGCGUGAGUGAAGAAGGUUUUCGGAUCGUAAAGCUCUGUUGUAAGAGAAGAACGGGUGUGAGAGUGGAAAGUUCACACUGUGACGGUAUCUUACCAGAAAGGGACGGCUAACUACGUG
rnacentral:rRNA from 1 species